rnacentral:rRNA from 1 species
AAGUAUCUUCGGAUAUGAGUAGAGCGGCGGACGGGUGAGUAACGCGUAGGAAUCUACCUAGUAGAAGGGGAUAGCCCGGGGAAACUCGGAUUAAUACCGUAUACCUCCUUCGGGAGAAAGAAGGCCUCUCUUUGAAGCUUUCGCUAUUAGAUGAGCCUGCGUAAGAUUAGCUUGUUGGUGAGGUAAAGGCUCACCAAGGCGACGAUCUUUAGCGGGUCUGAGAGGACGAUCCGCCACAUUGGGACUGAGACACGGCCCAGACUCCUACGGGAGGCAGCAGUGGGGAAUAUUGGACAAUGGGCGCAAGCCUGAUCCAGCCAUACCGCGUGUGUGAAGAAGGCCCUAGGGUUGUAAAGCACUUUAAGUUGGGAAGAAAAGUUAUUGGUUAAUACCCAAUAACCGUGACAUUACCAUCAGAAUAAGGACCGGCUAAUUCCGUGCCAGCAGCCGCGGUAAUACGGAAGGUCCAAGCGUUAAUCGGAAUUACUGGGCGUAAAGCGUGCGUAGGUGGUUUAUUAAGUUGGAUGUGAAAUCCCCGGGCUUAACCUGGGAACUGCAUCCAAAACUGAUUCACUAGAGUACGAUAGAGGGAGGUAGAAUUCACAGUGUAGCGGUGGAAUGCGUAGAUAUUGUGAAGUAUACCAAUGGCGAAGGCAGCCUCCUGGAUCUGUACUGACACUGAGGUGCGAAAGCGUGGGUAGCGAACAGGAUUAGAUACCCUGGUAGUCCACGCCGUAAACGAUGUCAACUAGCUGUUGGAGAACUAUGUUCUUCAGUGGCGCAGCCAACGUAGUAAGUUGACCGCCUGGGGAGUACGGCCGCAAGGCUAAAACUCAAAUGAAUUGACGGGGACCCGCACAAGCGGUGGAGCCAUGUGGUUUAAUUCGAUGCAACGCGAAAAACCUUACCUAUACUUGACAUACUUGGAAUGCUUUGUAAUGAAGCAGUGCCUUCGGGAGCCAAGAUACAGGUGCUGCAUGGCUGUCGUC